UGGGCGUAAAGAGCUUGUAGGCGGUUUGUCGCGUCUGCUGUGAAAGGCCGGAGCUUAACUCCGUGUAUUGCAGUGGGUACGGGCAGACUAGAGUGCAGUAGGGGAGACUGGAAUUCCUGGUGUAGCGGUGGAAUGCGCAGAUAUCAGGAGGAACACCGAUGGCGAAGGCAGGUCUCUGGGCUGUAACUGACGCUGAGAAGCGAAAGCAUGGGGAGCGAACAGGAUUAGAUACCCUGGUAGUCCAUGCCGUAAACGUUGGGCACUAGGUGUGGGGGACAUUCCACGUUUUCCGCGCCGUAGCUAACGCAUUAAGUGCCCCGCCUGGGGAGUACGGCCGCAAGGCUAAAACUCAAAGGAAUUGACGGGGGCCCGCACAAGCAGCGGAGCAUGUGGUUUAAUUCGAAGCAACGCGAAGAACCUUACCAGGGCUUGACAUCCCUCUGACCGCUCUAGAGAUAGAGCUUUCCUUCGGGACAGAGGUGACAGGUGGUGCAUGGUUGUCGUCAGCUCGUGUCGUGAGAUGUUGGGUUAAGUCCCGCAACGAGCGCAACCCUUGUCCCGUGUUGCCAGCACGUUGUGGUGGGGACUCGCGGGAGACUGCCGGGGUCAACUCGGAGGAAGGUGGGGAUGACGUCAAAUCAUCAUGCCCCUUAUGUCUUGGGCUUCACGCAUGCUACAAUGGCCGGUACAGAGGGUUGCGAUACUGUGAGGUGGAGCUAAUCCCUUAAAGCCGGUCUCAGUUCGGAUUGGGGUCUGCAACUCGACCCCAUGAAGUCGGAGUCGCUAGUAAUCGCAGAUCAGCAACGCUGCGGUGAAUACGUUCCCGGGCCUUGUACACACCGCCCGUCAAGUCACGAAAGUUGGUAACACCCGAAGCCGGUGGCCUAACCCUUUUGGGAGGGAGCCGUCUAAGGUGGGAUUGGCGAUUGGGACUAAGUCGUAACAAGGUAGCCGUACCGGAAGGUGCGGCUG
rnacentral:rRNA from 1 species